AUUGAACGCUGGCGGAAUGCUUUACACAUGCAAGUCGAGCGGCAGCGCGGCCUUCGGGCUGGCGGCGAGCGGCGAACGGGUGAGUAAUGCAUCGGAACAUGCCCAGUCGUGGGGGAUAACACUUCGAAAGAAGUGCUAAUACCGCAUACGUCCUGAGGGGGAAAGCGGGGGAUCGCAAGACCUCGCGCGAUUGGAGUGGCCGAUGUCAGAUUAGCUAGUUGGUGGGGUAAAGGCCUACCAAGGCGACGAUCUGUAGCUGGUCUGAGAGGAUGAUCAGCCACACUGGGACUGAGACACGGCCCAGACGCCUACGGGAGGCAGCAGUGGGGAAUUUUGGACAAUGGGGGCAACCCUGAUCCAGCCAUUCCGCGUGAGUGAAGAAGGCCUUCGGGUGGUAAAGCUCUUUCGGCAGGAACGAAACGGUGGGCUCUAACAUAGUCCGCUAAUGACGGUACCUGAAGAAGAAGCACCGGCUAACUACGUG
rnacentral:rRNA from 1 species